rnacentral:tRNA from 1 species
UUAUAGAAAGCUAAUAAUAGUACCUCAUUGUUAAUGGGGCUAAGAGAACUCCUCUCUGUAAA